CCCAUCAUUCCCUCACCCGCUUCGGAUGGGGAAAUAUUUGAAAAACGGAAGUGCCUGUAAUAUUCUGCUUGUGCUACCAAAGUUCUAAUGGUGUUUACCUGAAAUGUUUCUAUCAUUCCCAAACUUUCAGGGUUUCUGUUGGUGAUUGGCGAGGAACAGAUUGCACUUUCCUGAACUGAAAUCUAAUGAAUGCCACAAAGUGAAAAUAAACUGGAGACACUUGAAAAAAGAAAAAGAAAAGAAAACUCACUUCAAGAAACCGAAGCUUUCCUACCCCCCUUCUUUUCCCCUCACUUGCAGCCAACUAAGCUCCCCACACAUUCUGAUCGUCUCCCUGCACAGUGUCUGUGGUGGUGACAACUGAUUCAUGUGUUCAUUUGCAUAUCCCCCGGUGCCAGCAGCAGAAUACAGAACGGGCCUCCUGUGCCGGCAGCCAACACAGCACUGGCAAAUCAGGGAGCUGUCAGAAACAGCUGUCCAUUAACGGAGAUUGUGGAAACAACCAGGAGCUGUUUGAAAAUGCUAGGUGGUAGAAUUUAAUUGGAGUAGCAACUGUUCAAAAUUAAGAUUAAAAGGACCAGUCAGUCAAUGUGGAUUUCGUGACACCUUAAAAAUAACGUUUCAGGUUUGAUUAAUGCUGCAUGAAGUUUGCACAUUUCUCUCCUUUGCUGAUAGGGCCUGCGUGCUGAUAGUUGAUUCAGUGAAUAUAUCUAGCAGUGAUAGCUCAUGGGCUCCAAAGGUCAGAUAUCUUAUUCUCUAUGCUGAAACCCUUGUUGCUUUAAGGAAACAGGAUUUUAAUAGGAAUCACAUGCAGAUUGACUACAGGGAGCCAAGCGGUAGUGGAAGAAGCAAAGUUGGCGGUUUUGGAGACGGACGUCUAUUUAUCCACAGUGGGACAAAAAUGAAGGUUAUUGAAAAGAAUCAUGCUUGGUGGAAGAAGUAAUUACAUUUUUUUUUCAAAUCUCAGAGGAAUAAUGCUUUUAUAUUUCCUGCGAUGACCCAAUUUGCACUACGAUAUGCUCCCUUAAAUCACCCUACUCAGAGCAAUGGAGGCUAACAGCACCGGGAGAACCAUAAUAGAAUGAACAAGGCC